rnacentral:SRP_RNA from 1 species
GCUGGGUGUGGUGGUACACACCUGUAAUCCCAGCUACUUGGGAGGCUGAGGCAGGAGAAUCGUUUGAACCUGGGAGGUGGAGGCUGCAGUGAGCCGAGAUUGCGCCACUGCACUCCAGCCUGGGUGACAGAGCGAGACCCUGUCUCAA